rnacentral:tRNA from 1 species
GGAGGGGUACCGAAGCGGUUAUAACGGGACGGUCUUGAAAACCGUUUGGGGCGGAAGCUCCACGUGAGUUCGAAUCUCACCCCCUCCGCCU